rnacentral:ncRNA from 2 species
CUUGGUAUGUGUCACUGGCGUAACGUAGGUAACUACGAGGGAGCACAUAUUUCAUAAGCCGUACGCCUGGGCAAAGUAU